AAUUAGCUCGGCGCGGUGCAUGGGGCUAGAACUCAGGGCCCAGCAGGUCUGACAAUGCAGGUUUCCCCGCUCGCCUGUUGGGUUUUUGAAACGCCCUCAGCGGCGUUUUCCUCCUAAUUCUGGUUUGGAGGAGCCAUCUCUCUCCAUCCCGUCUGGCAGCGGGGUUUGCUUCACACACAGACGUGGGCAGAUGGCAUCGGGGACACAGGUGUGACUGCCGAGAAGUUUGCGGCGCAUUGGAGGGAAACCUGACCUUAGAGGAAAUGGAAAAGUUGGAGAGACACUGAGCACUGAUAUGAAAUAACUCUCUUGCUGAAAUACGCGAAGGGAGUCCCAGCAGCCAUAUUAGUAUUUCCACGUCCUGUGUCAGCCCCAAGUAGAGAGAACUUGGAAUGGGAGGGGAAAUGGCAGCCAUCAGGAAACGAAAAGCUGGCCCAGAGAAUUCUAAGCAAGUCAAUCACCAGUCAAACAGCUCGGUGGCUGAAUUGGUGGAAACCUAUCCUCAGAUGGCUAGUGGAGAAACAGUUCAGAGCCCAGAUCAUGCUGGAGAGCAGGAGAGCCUUGGUGAAAGAUGAAAUGGCAAAAUGCUUAAGAGCUGGGGAUCAGGAGGCAGACACACCCACAUUUGAAGCCUGGCUCCCCCAUUUGCUCUCUAGGUGAUAGACUCUUCUGAAAACUUCCUUGUUUUGCCUUUUCAAACAUCAGGGGCACGACUUAUGAGAGCCAAAUUUUGCCCAGCAUGCUGUGUCAUGGGUUCCAGUCCAUGGAGCUCCGUCAUACUCUGCUGGGCAUCCUGUGUCUUAGUCCUCUCUUCAGGUCCAGUUUCUACAUCCCUUAUCUGUGUUAUCUCAGGCUUCAGAAGCUUCUCCAUAACGUGAGCUACUUUCCCCUCAUCACUGGGUGUUUAUUUAUUUUUACUGAAGCCUGAGCCCUGUAACCUUACCACACUGGCCACAGCUUCAGGAGAGAGAUCACUGCUCUCAAGAACUUACAGUCUAGUGAUGGAUACAAAUGUACAUGAAAAAAUAACUAGCAAUGGAAAACAAGGCAUGAAAUGCGAUGAAACGUGGUCAAGAUGCUAAGUGCUAUGACAUAUCACACUCUGAACCUCACUUUGCUCAUAUGAAAAGCUGGAGAGAAUCUUCCCAAGCUUAGCGCAGCCUCAUAGGAUUUUGGUGAAAAUCAGAUGAGAUAGUAGAAGAGGGACACCAGAUCUUUCUUUCCUCAUGGGCACAGAGGAAAUGCUAUGUGAGGACAUAAGGAGGAGACAGCCAUCUAUAAGCCAAGAAGAAAGCCCUCGCCAGAAACCAACUCUAAUAGCACCUUGAUCUUGGAUUUCUAGCCCCUGGACAAUGAGAAAAUAAAUGUCUGUUGUUUA